GAGGUUAUAGCUCAGUGGUAGAGCACAUGCUUAGAAUGCAUGAGGUCCUGGGUUCAAUCCCCAGUACCUCCA
rnacentral:tRNA from 1 species